rnacentral:tRNA from 1 species
GAGGGUAUAGCUCAGUGGUAGAGUGUAUGCCCAGCAUGCAUGAGGUUGUGGGUUCAAUCCCUGGUACCUCCA